AGUGAACGCUGGCGGUAGGCCUAACACAUGCAAGUCGAACGGCAGCACAGUAAGAGCUUGCUCUUACGGGUGGCGAGUGGCGGACGGGUGAGGAAUACAUCGGAAUCUACUUUUUCGUGGGGGAUAACGUAGGGAAACUUACGCCAAUACCGCAUACGACCUACGGGUGAAAUCAGCGGAUCUUCGGACCUUGCGCGAUCCAAUGAGCCGAUGUCGGAUUAGCUAGUUGGCGGGGUAAAGGCCCACCAAGGCGACGAUCCGUAGCUGGUCUGAGAGGAUGAUCAGCCACACUGGAACUGAGACACGGUCCAGACUCCUACGGGAGGCAGCAGUGGGGAAUAUUGGACAAAGGGCGCAAGCCUGAUCCAGCCAUACCGCGUGGGUGAAGAAGGCCUUCGGGUUGUAAAGCCCUUUUGUUGGGAAAGAAAAGCAGCAGGUUAAUACCCCGCUGUUCUGACGGUACCCAAAGAAUAAGCACCGGCUAACUUCGUG
rnacentral:rRNA from 1 species